AUACGGAGGGUGCAAGCGUUACUCGGAAUCACUGGGCGUAAAGCGCGCGCAGGCGGUCUUUUAAGUUGGAUGUGAAAGCCUACGUCUCAACCGUAGAACUGCAUCCAAAACUAUUAGACUAGAGUGUGGGAGAGGAAGAUGGAAUUAGUUGUGUAGGGGUAAAAUCCGUAGAGAUAACUAGGAAUACCAAAAGCGAAGGCAAUCUUCUGGAACACUACUGACGCUGAGGCGCGAAAGCGUGGGUAGCAAACGGGAUUAGAAACCCCGGUAGUCC
rnacentral:rRNA from 1 species